rnacentral:lncRNA from 1 species
AGAAGAAGAAUAAAGCUAAAAACAAAGUACAAAACUGAAAAAAGCAAAAAGAAGAACAUUACAACGCAUUCAGAGUACAUGAACUUACAGGUAUAAAAUAAUCGGGUGUAAGCUGUAUAAAGAUGUCGACUUGAUAAGAUUACAAGUCUGGUUAAUUUUAUGCAUAAGAUUGGGAUACUGAAAGACGAAUCUUCCCCUAAAGAAAGGACUUUC